CACACACGAUCUUUCUUACGGGUCGUCAUCACUGUAUGCUUUAGCGGCCCUUCUUGCCCUUGUUGGCAGCCAUGGGGUCCUUGCGGAUGCGGAUGCUCUUGGGCGUCACCUCCACCUGCUCGUCGUCGUUGAUGUACUCGAGCGAGUCGUCCAGGCCCAUGCUGCGGGGCUCGUCCAGGCCCACCUUGGUGUCCUUGCCGGCGGCGCGCAUGUUGGUCAGCUGCUUGGUCUUGCAGAUGUUGACCUUCAGGUCUCCCGCCUUGGCGUGCAUGCCAAUCACCUGGCCCUCGUACACCUGGUCGCCGGGGCGGCAGAACAUCUGGCCGCGGUCCUGCGCGCUCUCCAGAGCGUACGUCGUGGCCUGGCCGGUCUCGUGCGCCACCAGAGAGCCGUUCUCGCGCAUCAGAAUCUCGCCCGCAACAGGGGCGUACCUGUGGAGGACAGGGGAGGAGGAAUGGGCCGAUGCCGCAGGUUAGCCACCAGGCAGCGCUGUCUUGCUUCUGCACAGUCUCUGGGUUUACUGCACAGAGCAAAGUAGACGUCGGGUCGCCAUGGCCGCGCACUUACUCGAGGAACAGGGUGUUCAUGACGCCCAGGCCGCGGGUGGCGGUCAGCAGCGAGUUCUUCAGGCCCAGUAGGCCGCGGGUGGCGAUACGGAACUUGAUGCGCGAGGCGCCCUGGAUCGAGGGGAUCAGGUCCACCAUCUCGCCCUUCCGCUGGGCGAACAGCUCCACGACGGCGCCCACGUACUGCUCCGGCACGUCCACAAUGGCCUCCUCGUAGGGCUCGCACGUCUUGCCGUUCACCUCGCGGGUGAUGACCUGUACGCAGCAGGACACGUGAUGGGCCCGGGGUGGUUUCAGGUAUGCCUCCAACUCCCAGGCAAAUCAACCCAGCCCGCCAAAAGCAGGGACUUCGUGCAGGCCCGGCUCUAUCCUACGGACGCCGUGUCCCGUAACCCCCCUCCCCCGCAGAAAAAUUAGCGGUGGGCGCACCUUCGGGGGGCCAAUCUCGAACUCGUAGCCCUCACGACGCAUGUUCUCAAUGAGGAUACCCAGGUGCAGAGUACCGCGGCCAGACACCACGAACGAGUCCGAGGUCUCACCGGGCUCCACGCUGCAAACACAAGAGCCAGGCAAUAGGGGGUCAAUGUGAUGUUCACAAAGAAGCUAGACGCGGUCCAGCUCCUUGUUGUUCAACCAAGCCACCUUAGUCACGAACACCCCGCCUCAAUAGUACACGUGAGCGGUGUUUUGGAUGCUGACGACACCUAGCACGCUCGCCCCGGGCAUUUGUGCGCGCCUGUCACGGCCGCUGCUCCUGGGUGUCUCACCGCAGCGCCAGGUUACGCUCCAGCUCGCGAUCCAGGCGGUCCUUCAGGUUGCGCGAGGUCACGAACUUGCCCUCCUUGCCGGCGAAGGGCGAGGUGUUGACCUUGAAGGUCAUGUUCACGGUUGGGUCCUCCACCUGAAGCGGGCGCGCAAAGAGCCGCAGGCGCGGGGCGCAAGGUCAACUCCUGUCGUGAAUACCAUGCUUUACCCAGGCGCCUGCCCUUGCAUCGUGCAACCCAUGGACCUCUGUUCUGUGGAAAAGCUGACAUCAUGGCAACAAGGGUGUGCUGUAUCUAGAGUAUAGAUUGUGGGCUGUACGCUCCAGGCGCCCUGCACGCCCCGGCCGCGAGUGGGGCCGUGAGGACAUGGCAUCGGGCGGCUGGUGCGGGCGAACGACAGGCUUCCCCGGCGCCGCUGACUUCAUUGUCGGCAAGCACAAGCACCGACGCGCCACUAGUUGAGACGCGUUAGUGACUCUAGCCGCCGUGUACAUGCGUGUACGUUGCUAAGCGCCUGAUCCUUUUCCAUACUCAGGCCCCGUUGUCUAUGGAACCCCGACCCUCGUACCUGGAUGGUGGGCAGGGGCACGGGGUUCUCGCGCUGGGUGAUGGUCUCGCCGAUCUUGAUAUCGGCAAUGCCCGACAGCGCACAGAUGUCACCAGCCGCCACCUCAUCGACCGGCACGCGGCUGAAGUUGUCGUACACGAACAGCUCAGCGAUCUUGGCCUGGCGCACCUGCGGGCCAAAAUGGAUUGGGGAACGCAAGGCAUGCGGUUAGGGCAAACAACAUCUUUGCGAUUCCGCCCAGAUCGAAGGUUGCAAUGUGGCCUGAUAAGUGCCCUUCCGGUGCUGGCUUCCAACGCACCUUGCCGGGCUCCAGCGAGGAGCAGAUCGAGAUGGUCUGGCCACGCUUGAUGGUGCCGCUGCUGACGCGGCCGAUGGCGAUGCGGCCCUUGUGCUCAUCGUAGUCGAUGUUGGCGCACAGCAGCUGCAGGGGCGCCGCCGGCUGCACGGAGGGCGGGCGGAUCUGCACAGGGGCGGAGGUGGACAGGGGCCGGCAUAGCGACGUCAGCAUGAUAUCCAAAGCAGCGAAGCUACAACCUCACGCAUGUGUGUACCGUUCCCCGGAUGCCAGCAGCAGCGCCACGGGUAGGCAGCAGCAGCAGCCCGGUCUCACCUCCUUGACAAUGGUCGCAAACAGGGGCUCCAGGUCCUCAGCCAGCGUCUCCGGGGUCAUGCCGGCAAUGCCAUUCACACCUGCGGUCCACAAACAGACGACCAACAACAGGAAAUCAGUCAUGCGUCCGACAUACGCCAACGCGCCGCUGGCACAACCCCCGCCGCAGCCGCGCACCUACGCACCCAUGCAUCCAGCAGCCCCUGAACCCAAGCCCGUGGUCCCUGUCGCCACCCGCCCACACCUGACCGCUAGCUCUGCCGGCCGAGCCCAAACACCACGCACCCGAGGCGUAAACCACGGGGAACUCGCACAGCUCGUCGGAAGCGCCCAAGUCCAUGAACAGCUCGAAGGUUGAGUCAAUGACCCAGUCGGGGCGGGCGGCGGGGCGGUCGAUCUUGUUCACAACCACCACCACGCGCUUCUGCAGCUCCAGCGCCUUGCGCAGCACGAAGCGGGUCUGGGGCAUGGGGCC
rnacentral:lncRNA from 1 species